GGUAUCUUCUUAGACCAAGUCUAGAAACAGUCUUAGGACAAUAACAAUUCCAUUCUAGAAAGAAUCUCCCAACAUUUCUUCUAUCUCAACCUCAACUGCAUCUGCCUGUGAACUUCCAGCUUACCAAGGCUCUAUAUCUUCUGGCAGUGACAAAGGCUCCUUCCAUGGUUGGUGUGAGCAGGCUUGGACACCUGCAGGGCAGACACCCAGGAAUAAUCAACUGGGCCUUAAGUGGUCCCCUUUUGCUGGAUCAAGAUAUGUAUUCAUUUCCUACCACUGUAGUGGAAGAGAGACUAUCCCUGUCUUUACACCCGGUAGCAUUUCCAACAGUAAGCUGUGAGAUUCUGCUUGAAAUCACCUCUCAAACAAAUAAAAAACAGACCUGGGAAAUGUGCUACACUCAUUCUGCUGAAGAAAUUGGGCAAGAAUGUUUUCUAAGACCGCGAACUCCAGAUUUGCGAUGUGGCA
rnacentral:lncRNA from 1 species